AUUGAACGCUGGCGGCAUGCUUUACACAUGCAAGUCGAACGGUAACAGGCCGCAAGGUGCUGACGAGUGGCGAACGGGUGAGUAAUGCAUCGGAACGUGCCCAGUCGUGGGGGGUAACGCAGCGAAAGCUGUGCUAAUACCGCAUACGAUCUAUGGAUGAAAGCGGGGGACCGUAGGGCCUCGCGCGAUUGGAGCGGCCGAUGUCAGAUUAGGUAGUUGGUGGGGUAAAGGCCCACCAAGCCAACGAUCUGUAGCUGGUCUGAGAGGACGACCAGCCACACUGGGACUGAGACACGGCCCAGACUCCUACGGGAGGCAGUAGUGGGGAAUUUUGGACAAUGGGCGCAAGCCUGAUCCAGCAAUGCCGCGUGCAGGAAGAAGGCCUUCGGGUUGUAAACUGCUUUUGUACGGAACGAAACGGUCUGGGUUAAUACCCUGGGCUAAUGACGGUACCGUAAGAAUAAGCAUCGGCUAACUACGUGCCAGCCGCCGCCGUAACAC
rnacentral:rRNA from 1 species